rnacentral:rRNA from 1 species
AUUGAACGCUGGCGGCAUGCCUUACACAUGCAAGUCGAACGGUAACAGGUCUUCGGAUGCUGACGAGUGGCGAACGGGUGAGUAAUACAUCGGAACGUGCCUAGUAGUGGGGGAUAACUACUCGAAAGAGUGGCUAAUACCGCAUGAGAUCUACGGAUGAAAGCAGGGGAUCGCAAGACCUUGUGCUACUAGAGCGGCCGAUGGCAGAUUAGGUAGUUGGUGGGAUAAAAGCUUACCAAGCCGACGAUCUGUAGCUGGUCUGAGAGGACGAUCAGCCACACUGGGACUGAGUCACGGCCCAGACUCCUACGGGAGGCAGCAGUGGGGAAUUUUGGACAAUGGGCGCAAGCCUGAUCCCGCAAUGCCGCGUGCAGGAUGAAGGCCUUCGGGUUGUAAACUGCUUUUGUACGGAACGAAAAGCCCUGGGUUAAUACCCUGGGGUCAUGACGGUACCGUAAGAAUAAGCACCGGCUAACUACGUGCCAGCCGCCGCCGUAAUAC